UACGAAGGGGGCUAGCGUUGUUCGGAAUUACUGGGCGUAAAGCGCACGUAGGCGGGUUGUUAAGUCAGGGGUGAAAUCCUGGAGCUCAACUCCAGAACUGCCUUUGAUACUGGCAACCUAGAGACUGGAAGAGGUUAGUGGAAUUCCCAGUGUAGAGGUGAAAUUCGUAGAUAUUGAGAAGAACACCAGUGGCGAAGGCGGCUAACUGGUCCAGCACUGACGCUGAGGUGCGAAAGCGUGGGGAGCAAACAGG
rnacentral:rRNA from 1 species